CUCUCCCGCAAUCCCCACUCCUGUCUCGUCCCCCUUCGUCUCCAUCUCUGCUCCAGCAAUCCAACACCCAUGGGAGACAGAUUAACCGCCGAUCUCGUGGAGGAGAGGCUGCCGACAGCCCCGGAACGAGAUCCCGCGCCCUGAUCAAGGACGGCGCUUGUUCCGUCCGCCCGGUCCUGGCCCGCUUGACGCAGCAGACCUGCGCACGGCCACGCUAUGUCUUCUCCCCGGCCACCUACGCCGAACAAGCUGCCAUGAUUCACUAGGAGCUCCUCCUUUGAUCCUUCGCCCUCCACCACCCGGCCUCCAUGAUCUUCCGCAUGGCCGCCUCCAAGGGUCUCCUCCUCCAUAGGCCUACUCAAGACCUUCCCCAAAUCUGCUCUCCCCCGGCAUUCUUCCUCUUGUCCGCCACCGCUGCCAUCGCCGACCUCCUUUCGCGCUUGCCGACGGCGUCCCUGUGGUCAUGCUCCACCUACCUUCCGCAUUCGAGAUGACCUCGGGCCCGUCGCGGACAAGGAAAUCGACGCAUCCGGGGGGCGGGGUGGAUGUGUUGAGAGGUGGUCUUUGUCGGCGCUGCCCCGCGAUUGAACACGGGGCGAGGCGGACGGCCGUCGUGAGAGGAGCCCAGGAGAUAUUUGCGGCUCGCCCUCGCCAGUCGAUGCGCCCAACCCCUGUUGCCGAGUUGCUAGGCGUCCGAGAGAGAGCUACAACAACUUGUUGCUGGUAAUGCAAGCAACGUUCUUCAUAUAAUGUAAGCAAAGAUCGUCAUAUGAAAACCAAUGGACACCCUACUAUGCAAGCUAUCAAAAAACACUGGAAGAUACUUGUACAUGUUCCUGGAUCAGCCUUUUGGUCCACCAGAUAGUUUCCUUUUACUUGCAUGUAGUUUCUAGGGAUAACUUCUCAACUGAUGCUUGCAAAAUCUGAUGUCUUUGCAAACGGUUUUCUGGUUUUCUUGUGCAAAACCAGAUUUUUGCAAACACUUCAUGCCAAGGAUUAAGAGUUGUUUGACUAUAUAUUCUAUGAAUUGGUACCUUA